GCUUAUGCGUUGUUGGGUAGGGGAGCGUUCUGUAAGCCUGUGAAGGUGUGUCGUGAGGCAUGCUGGAGGUAUCAGAAGUGCGAAUGCUGACAUAAGUAACGAUAAAGCGGGUGAAAAGCCCGCUCGCCGGAAGACCAAGGGUUCCUGUCCAACGUUAAUCGGGGCAGGGUGAGUCGACCCCUAAGGCGAGGCCGAAAGGCGUAGUCGAUGGGAAACGGGUUAAUAUUCCCGUACUUGGUGUUACUGCGAAGGGGGGACGGAGAAGGCUAUGUUGGCCGGGCGACGGUUGUCCCGGUUUAAGCGUGUAGGUGUGUGUUCCAGGUAAAUCCGGUUCACUUUAACACUGAGGCGUGACGACGAGGCACUACGGUGCUGAAGCAACAAAUGCCCUGCUUCCAGGAAAAGCCUCUAAGCAUCAGGUAACAUCAAAUCGUACCCCAAACCGACACAGGUGGUCAGGUAGAGAAUACCAAGGCGCUUGAGAGAACUCGGGUGAAGGAACUAGGCAAAAUGGUGCCGUAACUUCGGGAGAAGGCACGCUGACACGUAGGUGAAGUGAUUUACUCAUGGAGCUGAAGUCAGUCGAAGAUACCAGCUGGCUGCAACUGUUUAUUAAAAACACAGCACUGUGCAAACACGAAAGUGGACGUAUACGGUGUGACGCCUGCCCGGUGCCGGAAGGUUAAUUGAUGGGGUCAGCGCAAGCGAAGCUCCUGAUCGAAGCCCCGGUAAACGGCGGCCGUAACUAUAACGGUCCUAAGGUAGCGAAAUUCCUUGUCGGGUAAGUUCCGACCUGCACGAAUGGCGUAAUGAUGGCCAGGCUGUCUCCACCCGAGACUCAGUGAAAUUGAACUCGCUGUGAAGAUGCAGUGUACCCGCGGCAAGACGGAAAGACCCCGUGAACCUUUACUAUAGCUUGACACUGAACAUUGAGCCUUGAUGUGUAG
rnacentral:rRNA from 2 species